rnacentral:rRNA from 1 species
UACGUAGGGUGCGAGCGUUGUCCGGAAUUAUUGGGCGUAAAGGGCUCGUAGGCGGCUGUUCAAGUCGAACGUGAAAACUCGGAGCUCAACUCCGAGCCUGCGUUCGAUACUGGACGGCUAGAGUCUGGUAGGGGGAUCUGGAAUUCCUGGUGUGAGCGGUGGGAAUGCGCAGAGUAUCAGGAGGAACACCGGUGGCGAAGGCGGGAUCCUGGGCCAGUACUGACGCUGAGGCGCGACGGCGUGGGGAGCAAACAGG